GCUGGGUCCCGCCCCUUCUUCCGGCUGGGUUCCACUACCUGUAAGGCUGGAACUGACAGCCACUGUGCAAACAAAAAAAGGCAACAAGCAUGCUGGGACCAUUCUGUCUGCUGUUUGGGUCUCACUUGCCCUGACAACUAAAAAUCAUCAGUGGAAAGGCAUAGAAUGGUGGAUGAUUUCAUCUGGAUAUUUAGAUCACAAAGAGAUCAAGACAGACACUGAUAUUUGACCCAGGAUAGAAGAAAGGCCAUGAGGAGGCCUUAGACCUCAGCAAACCGUUUCCAUCUUACUGCCAUAUUCUUACAUGAACAGGAAAGCACACCACAGAUGAACCAUGCUUUUCGACGAAAUUCAACUCUGAAAUACACGGUAGCUCAUGUGCGAACGGCCCAAACGGAGAAUCAAUGUUCCUGUACCUUUGGUGCUGGGUCUAUGUGAUACCUGAAGUUUCAUGGCAUUUUAUUAAUUUCUAUUUGAAAACUAAAAGUGCACCCUGCUCUGCUAAAAGGCACAGAAAACAUACAGAAUGUAAACUGAGAACAUGGCAUGCCACAGAAAAUAUAAACAGAAAACCCUGACUUAGACAGACAUGUAAAAACUAGAGCAUUUUACAGACAUGCCCACUACCUGGCCAAACUGGAUUCAAGAAUUUGGAAGCGCAUAUUGGAAAUAAGCGAGGUUUCCUUACAAGUCAGUUGAUGAGAUAUCUGACUUCGAGAAUGUUUAAGCAAAUAUGAAAGCUCAAGGAAUUGCAAUAUUGAGAUUUCUGAAAAUAUGAUUGGAUCCAGAAAUGGAUGAGAGAUUGCCUUGAAGAUUAAGUGAUUUAAUCACAGCAAUCUGGCUACCUUUGUGGAGAGACUGCGUGGAAAGGCCAGAUGAUGAGGCAAUAAUUUGAUCCAACUUGGACAGAAAAGCCCAGCCUGAGAGCGGACCCCAGCUUUCAAGAUAUCUACCACCUAGAAAAAAAGGAUGUCAACUGCUUCUGCAUACACCACAAGAUCACCAAGGUCUGGAAGAAACACACAACUUUCUCUGCAGCAAGUAAGCAGCAGAAUGGCAGAACUCCGACCUGCCUGCUUCCUACCCUUAAUAAGAAUCCCCCGCCUUGGUAAAAG